rnacentral:rRNA from 1 species
CCCUCCGAAGUUUCCCUCAGGAUAGCUGGAACUUAUGAGAAAGUAGUUUUAUCAGGUAAAGCGAAUGAUUAGAGGCUUUGGGGAAGAAACUUCCUCGACCUAUUCUCAAAACUUUAAAUAGGUAAGAUUUGGAGGAUACUUAGGUGAUCUUUCAAUACAUUGAAUAUCAAGUUCUUAGUGGGCCAUUUUUGGUAAGCAGAACUGGCGAUGUGGGAUGAACCGAACGUUAAGUUAAAGUGCCAAAAUAGUACGCUCAUGAGAUACCAUAAAAGGUGUUGGUUCAUUUUGACAGCAGGACGGUGGCCAUGGAAGUCGGAACCCGCUAAGGAGUGUGUAACAACUCACCUGCCGAAUGAACUAGCCCUGAAAAUGGAUGGCGCUUAAGCGUAUAACUUAUACUUAACCCUUACUUGAAUUAUUAUAACGAGUAAGGAGUAGGAGGG